UUGUGUCUGUCUUCUCACAAGACCCUCUUUCUUUUCAUAUACGUAUACCUAUAUAUAUUUUAUUCAUUCUCUAAUAAUAAUAAUAAUAAUAAAGUUUUGCCCCGUUUUAAGUAUUGUAACUUCCGAUCACCGCUACCCUUUCCGAUUGAUCUGAGUCCCAUAAUGCAUGUCAGGGCUCUGCCCGACUAAGUUCGUUGGGAUUCUGUCUCGGGACAUCGGGACAAGGUUGAUUUAGGGGUACCAUACUUAACACGAGUGCAUUAUAUAUUUUUAAUAGCCCAAAAGUAUACCCAAAAUUUAUAACAGGAGUCUUUCUAGUUGAACCCUAAAGUUACACAAGGGGUCCAUUCUCUUUUCUUACCAUUUUAUUUCCUUUUUAUGAUUUACCCAAAAUUAUUAUUUAUUAUUCUAUUUUGGUAAAAUAACUCUCAUAAAAAGUCAUAUCUAUUAUUUUAUUUACUCAAUAGGAAACCCUAGUUAAGACACCCAAGUAAUUCUGCACAAACCCUAAAAUUUUCAAAACAAUCAGAAUCAGGAUCAGGGCCCCUACAACCCAGGGGGGGGGUAAACCCUAGUGGACGAUUAUCUUCAAAUCUCGUUGUCGAAUUCGAAUUUGAAGAAAUCAUCAACUCAGCAGGCCUAGUCCCACACGUGGCAACCCUAUGACAAUUAGGUGUCCCUUACGGACCGUAAGGGAAUAGUCUUACGGUCCGUAAGCAUGUCCAAUUUUUGUGUAUAAAUAGCAGACAUUGGCACUCGAUUUUGGACACUGAAACGACGUAAAAACUCCAAAUAUACGCUGAGAUAUUCUCUGAUUACUAUCAAACACACACUAGCUCGAAUUCUGCUACAAUACAGGGUAUUAACUCGAUCGCUAUUACGAUUCAUUUUCCGACCGAUCAAUAUAUCCAAUGAAUGUUUAAGUGCCGCCCAUAUUAGGGUUAUACUUUGUCGUUCGUCGUUAAUUCGAUGGAUGUUUAAGUAUCGCACUUUGUCGUUCAUUGUGAGAAUUUGAUCUCGUGAGUUCAUCGUAAAUGUUGUAUUAGUUAAUUACCUAGUUUCGUGUGCAUUAUUAUUUAAAUUAGGUUAUCAGGCUUAUCCAUAGGAUAAACACUACCCCAUACACUUACAAUCAAAAUAGAUACCAGUUCUCAGAAGAAUCUGAAUCAUGAAGCUUGUUAAUUCAAUACUGCAUGCUUAUAAUGUAAUUACAGUAGAUUGGAGUAAGGAUUGGAUCCGGCACUAAAAGACUUCAAGAAGUGGCUUAUUUUAUUAAUUAAAUCAAAUUAAGAAAUAUUGUUUUUAUUAAAAGCUACCUUUGUAACAAUGGAAUUUAUUCCAUCUAUUUAAAUAAAAUCAAGUGUU
rnacentral:lncRNA from 1 species